rnacentral:rRNA from 1 species
UACAGAGGUCUCAAGCGUUGUUCGGAUUCAUUGGGCGUAAAGGGUGCGUAGGCGGCGCGGUAAGUCGGGUGUGAAAUCUCGGAGCUUAACUCCGAAACUGCAUUCGAUACUGCCGUGCUUGAGGACGGGAGAGGAGACUGGAAUUUACGGUGUAGCGGUGAAAUGCGUAGAUAUCGAGAGGAACACCGGUGGCGAAGGCGGCGAUCUGGACGAUGACUGACGCUGAGACGCGAAAGCGUGGGGAGCAAACAGG